ACGCGAAGAACCUUACCUGGUCUUGACAUCCACAGAACUUUCCAGAGAUGGAUUGGUGCCUUCGGGAACUGUGAGACAGGUGCUGCAUGGCUGUCGUCAGCUCGUGUUGUGAAAUGUUGGGUUAAGUCCCGCAACGAGCGCAACCCUUAUCCUUUGUUGCCAGCGGUCCGGCCGGGAACUCAAAGGAGACUGCCAGUGAUAAACUGGAGGAAGGUGGGGAUGACGUCAAGUCAUCAUGGCCCUUACGACCAGGGCUACACACGUGCUACAAUGGCACAUACAAAGAGAAGCGACCUCGCGAGAGCAAGCGGACCUCAUAAAGUAUGUCGUAGUCCGGAUUGGAGUCUGCAACUCGACUCCAUGAAGUCGGAAUC
rnacentral:rRNA from 1 species